rnacentral:lncRNA from 1 species
CGCGCACGCCGCACGCGCACGCCGCACGCGCACGCCGCACGCCGGCUUGGCUUGCCUGUAACGGGCUAGGCGUGGCUUUGUGUUCCUAGCUUGGCUUGGUGUUCGUAGCUUGGCUUGGCCUUAGUCGCUUUGCCUGGAGUUUCUUGCUUGGAUUGGCAUUUCCUCCCUCGCAUUCCUUUGCUGGGCUUGACCUUUUCUUUGCUGGGAGGAGCGGCAAGAGCAACGUGGGUGCUUGGGAAGACUACGACGACAGCGCCUUCAUGGAGCCCCGGUACCACGUCCGUCAAGAAGAUAUGGGCAAGCUCCACAGAGCUGCCUGAUGGGGUAAAGUCCCCAGAAAGGAUCUCAUCUACAUGCUCAGGGGCACUGAAGUGAACAAGAGGGACAAGCAAAAGAGGUAACCGGGCCUGGGCUGGG